rnacentral:rRNA from 1 species
GUUGAAAAACCAUGGGAUGAGCUGUGGAUAGCGGAGAAAUUCCAAUCGAACUCGGAGAUAGCUGGUUCUCCUCGAAAUAGCUUUAGGGCUAGCGUCGUGUAAUUGAGUAAUGGAGGUAGAGCACUGAAUGGGCUAGGGGCUAUAGUAGUUACCGAACCCUAUCAAACUCCGAAUGCCAUAUACUUGUAUCACGGCAGUCAGACUGCGAAUGAUAAGAUCCGUAGUCAAAAGGGAAACAGCCCAGACCAUCAGCUAAGGUCCCAAAGUGUAAGUUAAGUGGAAAAGGAUGUGGGAUUUCUAAGACAACUAGGAUGUUGGCUUAGAAGCAGCCACUCAUUUAAAGAGUGCGUAAUAGCUCACUAGUCAAGAGAUCCUGCGCCGAAGAUGUCCGGGGCUCAAACUUACCACCGAAGCUAUGGGUGUACACUAUGUGUACGCGGUAGAGGAGCUUUCUGUAUGGGUUGAAGUCGUACCGUAAGGAGCGGUGGACUGUACAGAAGUGAGAAUGCUGGCAUAAGUAGCGAGAAAUAAGUGAGAAUCUUAUUGGCCGAAAACCUAAGGUUUCCUGAGGAAGGUUCGUCCGCUCAGGGUUAGUCGGGACCUAAGCCGAGGCCGAAAGGCGUAGGUGAUGGACAAUCGGUUGAUAUUCCGAUACCACCUAUUUACGUUUGAGAAAUGGGGUGACGCAGUAGGAUAAGAUGUGCGCACUAUUGGAUGUGCGUCUAAGCACUUAGGCAUGCUUGAUAGGCAAAUCCGUCGAGCUAAGCUGAGGUGUGAUGGGGAGCCAUUUAUGGCGAAGUAUCUGAUUCCACACUGCCAAGAAAAGCCUCUAUCGAGUGAAUAGGUGCCCGUACCGCAAACCGACACAGGUAGGUGAGGAGAGAAUCCUAAGGCCAUCGGAAGAAUUGCUGUUAAGGAACUCGGCAAAUUGACCCCGUAACUUCGGGAGAAGGGGUGCCUACGAAAGUAGGCCGCAGAGAAUAGGCCCAAGCAACUGUUUAGCAAAAACACAGGUCUCUGCUAAAGCGAAAGCUGAUGUAUAGGGGCUGACGCCUGCCCGGUGCUGGAAGGUUAAGGGGAACACUUAGCGUAAGCGAAGGUGUGAACUUAAGCCCCAGUAAACGGCGGCCGUAACUAUAACGGUCCUAAGGUAGCGAAAUUCCUUGUCGGGUAAGUUCCGACCCGCACGAAUGGCGUAAUGAUUUGGGCACUGUCUCAACAGCAAAUCCGGCGAAAUUGUAGUGCAAGUGAAGAUGCUUGCUACCCGCGAUUGGACGGAAAGACCCCGUAGAGCUUUACUGUAGCUUAGCAUUGAAUCUCGGUAUUGUCUGUACAGGAUAGGUGGGAGACUUGGAAACUUGGGCGUCAGCCUGAGUGGAGUCAUCCUUGGGAUACCACCCUGACAGUACUGGGGUUCUAACCGGAGGCCAUGAAUCUGGUCACGGGACAUUGUUAGGUGGGCAGUUUGACUGGGGCGGUCGCCUCCUAAAAAGGAACGGAGGCGCCCAAAAGUUCCCUCAGCGCGGUCGGAAAUCGCGCGAAGAGUGCAAAGGCAGAAGGGAGCUUGACUGCGACACAUACAGGUGGAGCAGGGACGAAAGUCGGGCUUAGUGAUCCGGUGGUACCUCGUGGGAGGGCCAUCGCUCAACGGAUAAAAGCUACCUCGGGGAUAACAGGCUGAUCUCCCCCAAGAGUCCACAUCGACGGGGAGGUUUGGCACCUCGAUGUC